GCUCAAUUCUGGAGUUUUGUGUUUACUGUGCUAUCAGGACAGUCAGACACACAUCAAAUACGCAUCAGCCUGACCAACAUGAAAACCAACAUGGCCACCCAUGGUGUAGGACACAAUGAUUCUGUGAUAUUCACAGUUUUCUAAAUUAGUGUUCAGCUGUUUGCUAUUAGUGACAGCGGUGGGAAAUCCUCCAUCUAAAUAAAGAGAUGCAGCAGCAUCCAGCUCUCUCAACUCCACAUCUGUACACUCAGACACAUCAUGUUCCAAAGCCUCGGAUUCAUGCUAAUUCUGAUCUCACAGACGCUGUCACCAAGCUGAUACUCUGCCAUAAUUCAGCACGGCUACAUCACAUAGCUGCAUUGUACUCUGGAGUCCAUUGCUGAUUUCUCAUUAUGUGUUGUUUUUAGGAUCUAACAGCAAAGCCUAAUAUUUUGCACCUUAUAUUCAAAAUCUUUUUUUUUUUACUUCUAUCAAAUUCCAUUGUAACUUCUUUAGCAAUCUUUCCAAUGUGAUUCAGCGCAGUACAAGAACGCUAAUGUCUCACAGGAAUAGCGAAAAUACUGAACCAAGCAACACAAAAUCGCUAAGCACAUCACAAAUUUUUUUUUACAUAUAAACAUAUUUAUAUGUUCAUAUUUAUAUGUUCAUAUUCAUGUGUUCCAGGAUGGAGUUUGCCUUUAAUGGUAAAUCAAAUUCAUCAGCAUUUCUAGUACCAGUGAAAAUGUUGGCUUCCUUGCUGAACAGUGUAUAUUUUUGUGACUAUAUCAGAACAGUAACUGUUAAUAGACCACCCUGAUAUAUCUCAUUUAAAACAGAUCUGCAAGAAACACUCAGUGUGGAGCAGAUCUACACUUUUGUAUAGUAUAUUUGGUAUCUGUACUGUACUGCUUUAGAUCCAUCAUGGGCUCGUGACUCACG